rnacentral:lncRNA from 1 species
UUUUGAAGACCUGAGGGUGGGCUAGUUGAGCGUUGUGGACUUUACUCCUGGAGGGAUUAGCCAGUGAAGCUUGGUACCUCCAUCUCGACAAACCAGUCCAGUGCCCAAACUACAACCUAGGCCUUAAACCGGUAAUCCAGCAAAUGAAGGUAGACCUCAAGCGCGGUGCGGAACGACGACGCAACUGCAAUCUCACAAGGGAGGAGAAGGACGCCCUAUCAACGCUGAAAGAACGCACGGAUAUUGUGAUAAAGCCGGCGGAUAAGGGAGGUGCUGUCGUCACCUGGAGGAAGGACAACUACAGGAACGAGAUGGAGGCACCUGGCAGACACUGCAGCCUACAAACAGAUACAAAACCAGGAUGAGGCACUUAAAAACGCCCAAACGAGGAGUAAAAGGAUAGUCCUCAAGCUGUUCGAAAACAAAACUGGGGACGGGAAUGGAGGACUCGUGCAGGCAGGGGCGAAAGAUUUCUUCCUAGCCUUUGAAUCCAUCAUUCCCCACCUCUACCUUUUACCAAAGAUCCAUAAAGCACUAGAAGAAACAGGAACGUGGCAUGGGAGACGGGUUCUAAGCAGCUGCCAGGCCCCAACAAGGCCAGUAGACUGGAUCUGCACCGCCCUCCUGAACCCUUUACUACGUCUACUACCAGAAAGAAUCAAAGAUAUGACGGAUUUCCUCAAGUAAAUUGCAGAAAUUAGAGGCCCCGUCCCAAGAGGGGCCCGCCUUUUUUCCAUGGAUGUGGUAUCGCUCUACCCGAGCAUACCACAGAGAAGCUGCAAAUGUGGUAGCAACUUUUUUUUUUACAGAUAACAAAGCAAAAAUCAGAGGAACUUAGAGACGCAGGAGUAUGGAGGACCCCUCGAAAAACUCUGUAGGAGGCCAUCCUCCAUGUGAUGAGACACCCUUUUGCAAUUUGAAGGAUGAGCAUACCGGCAAAACAAGGGUACAGCGAUAAGAGCAUCCAGUAGUGUGGCAAUCGCUGAAAUAUUUGUGCAUGUAGUGUUUGAGAGGAAACUAUCCCACAGGAAGGACGGACCGGCGGUAUAUUUGUUACAUAGACGACAGCUUCGGAAUAAUGGAGGACGGUUCCCGUGCCUAGGUUUCUUUUCAUGGUCAAAUACAGUUCAUGAGAACCUUAAGUUUAUCCUCGAACACACUGACUCCACGAUAAAUUUCCUAGAUACAACAGUGUAUAUAGACCAGCUAACCAGGGAUCUGCAUACGAAGGCAUACUAUAAACCGACUAGCCUUCAAACGUAUCUUAAAUUAGACUCGAACCAACCACUAGCCUUGAAGAAAUCGCUACCCUACUCACUUGGAUUCACUCAAGCAGAUUAAUUAACAGCAAAGAGACGCUAUAUCCCCAGCUUGAUGACCUAUGGGAUAUGUUCAGGAACAGAGACUACCCAGAGACAAUAAUACAUGCGGCCCAGGAGAAACUCGGAGAAAAAACAAGGGUGGAGCUACUCAGACCUAGAACACAAGUGGAAGACAAGAGAUGUAUCCUCCCAACCCUUUUCCCUGGCCUUGCAGCACAGCUUAAGAUAAAACUCCAGGAAGUAUGGACAUGGAUGAGGGAAACGUACAGUGAACAUCCUUCCUGAGUAAAAUUCCCACAAAACCCUUCUAUGAUCGCCUGGAGGCGAGGAAAGUCUAUAAAGGACCACGUUGUUAGAGCAGCUGUGCAGGUAGAUCUCGACCGAACUGGGGGAGAGGACCAGCCCCAGGGGUACAGUUGAAAGAAAUGAAACGUAGACCCUAACCUAACCUGACACAGGUUUGGUGUGCGACCUGCGUGGAGGCGGAGUAUGCAGAGGGGUUUGGAGAGGCCUACAUGUACAAGCUAAAUCUGAAAAAAGAACCAUUUGGUCAC